rnacentral:sRNA from 1 species
UAAAUGCAAAUUUUAUGCUGCUAAUUGACAGGCGCAACACUGAAUAUAGCAGGAUUGCAUUAAUUGCAAGCUGAAUAGCAGCUGCUACCAUACAAAGUGCAGGGGGGCGCAAAGCUGGAAAUAGCCGAACUUCAUUAAUUGCAAGUUGACUAGCAGAAUACAUGAAGUACAGCAAGGAGACUUAGUCAUAUGGGCUGCAUAGCCAAUAGGGCGCAUAAUUAAGUUAGAUUUAAGUAGAUUUAAAUUUGAAUU